CAACCCUGACUACUGGCAUAG
rnacentral:miRNA from 1 species